GGAACGGAUAAACGCUGAAAGCAUCUAAGCGUGAAGCCGACCUCAAGAUAAGAUAUCCCAUCAUUUCAAAUGAGUAAGACCCCUCAAAGACUAUGAGGUAGAUAGGUGCAAGGUGUAAGCAUGGUGACAUGUUCAGCCAGCGCAUACUAAUCGGUCGAGGGCUUUUCCUU
rnacentral:rRNA from 1 species